rnacentral:rRNA from 1 species
CACCGGCAGCCCAAGUGGUGGCCAUUUUUAUUGGGCCUAAAGCGUUCGUAGCCGGCCUGAUAAGUCUCUGGUGAAAUCCCGCAGCUUAACUGUGGGAAUUGCUGGAGAUACUAUCAGGCUUGAGGUCGGGAGAGGUUAGAGGUACUCCCAGGGUAGGGGUGAAAUCCUAUAAUCCUGGGAGGACCACCUGUGGCGAAGGCGUCUAACUGGAACGAACCUGACGGUGAGUAACGAAAGCCAGGGGCGCGAACCGGAUUAGAUACCCCGAGUAGUCC